rnacentral:rRNA from 1 species
CCUACGGGGGGCAGCAGUGGGGAAUAUUGGACAAUGGGCGAAAGCCUGAUCCAGCCAUGCCGCGUGUGUGAAGAAGGUCUUCGGAUUGUAAAGCACUCUAAGUUGGGAGGAAGGGUUGUAGAUUAAUACUCUGCAAUUUUGACGUUACCGACAGAAUAAGCACCGGCUAACUCUGUGCCAGCAGCCGCGGUAAUACAGAGGGUGCAAGCGUUAAUCGGAAUUACUGGGCGUAAAGCGCGCGUAGGUGGUUUGUUAAGUUGGAUGUGAAAGCCCCGGGCUCAACCUGGGAACUGCAUCCAAAACUGGCAAGCUAGAAUACAGUAGAGGGGGGUAGAAUUUCCUGUGUGGCAGUGAAGUGCGUAGAUAUAGGAAGGGACACCAAUGGCGAAGGCGACCACCUGGACUAAUACUGACACUGAGGUGCGAAAGCGUGGGGAGCAAACAGGAUUAGAUACCCCUGUAGUC